rnacentral:rRNA from 1 species
UUGAAGAGUUUGAUCAUGGCUCAGAUUGAACGCUGGCGGCAGGCCUAACACAUGCAAGUCGAACGGUAACAGGAAACAGCUUGCUGUUUCGCUGACGAGUGGCGGACGGGUGAGUAAUGUCUGGGAAACUGCCUGAUGGAGGGGGAUAACUACUGGAAACGGUAGCUAAUACCGCAUAACGUCGCAAGACCAAAGAGGGGGACCUUAGGGCCUCUUGCCAUCGGAUGUGCCCAGAUGGGAUUAGCUUGUUGGUGGGGUAACGGCUCACCAAGGCGACGAUCCCUAGCUGGUCUGAGAGGAUGACCAGCCACACUGGAACUGAGACACGGUCCAGACUCCUACGGGAGGCAGCAGUGGGGAAUAUUGCACAAUGGGCGCAAGCCUGAUGCAGCCAUGCCGCGUGUAUGAAGAAGGCCUUCGGGUUGUAAAGUACUUUCAGCGGGGAGGAAGGGAGUAAAGUUAAUACCUUUGCUCAUUGACGUUACCCGCAGAAGAAGCACCGGCUAACUCCGUGCCAGCAGCCGCGGUAAUACGGAGGGUGCAAGCGUUAAUCGGAAUUACUGGGCGUAAAGCGCACGCAGGCGGUUUGUUAAGUCAGAUGUGAAAUCCCCGGGCUCAACCUGGGAACUGCAUCUGAUACUGGCAAGCUUGAGUCUCGUAGAGGGGGGUAGAAUUCCAGGUGUAGCGGUGAAAUGCGUAGAGAUCUGGAGGAAUACCGGUGGCGAAGGCGGCCCCCUGGACGAAGACUGACGCUCAGGUGCGAAAGCGUGGGGAGCAAACAGGAUUAGAUACCCUGGUAGUCCACGCCGUAAACGAUGUCGACUUGGAGGUUGUGCCCUUGAGGCGUGGCUUCCGGAGCUAACGCGUUAAGUCGACCGCCUGGGGAGUACGGCCGCAAGGUUAAAACUCAAAUGAAUUGACGGGGGCCCGCACAAGCGGUGGAGCAUGUGGUUUAAUUCGAUGCAACGCGAAGAACCUUACCUGGUCUUGACAUCCACGGAAGUUUUCAGAGAUGAGAAUGUGCCUUCGGGAACCGUGAGACAGGUGCUGCAUGGCUGUCGUCAGCUCGUGUUGUGAAAUGUUGGGUUAAGUCCCGCAACGAGCGCAACCCUUAUCCUUUGUUGCCAGCGGUCCGGCCGGGAACUCAAAGGAGACUGCCAGUGAUAAACUGGAGGAAGGUGGGGAUGACGUCAAGUCAUCAUGGCCCUUACGACCAGGGCUACACACGUGCUACAAUGGCGCAUACAAAGAGAAGCGACCUCGCGAGAGCAAGCGGACCUCAUAAAGUGCGUCGUAGUCCGGAUUGGAGUCUGCAACUCGACUCCAUGAAGUCGGAAUCGCUAGUAAUCGUGGAUCAGAAUGCCACGGUGAAUACGUUCCCGGGCCUUGUACACACCGCCCGUCACACCAUGGGAGUGGGUUGCAAAAGAAGUAGGUAGCUUAACCUUCGGGAGGGCGCUUAC